rnacentral:rRNA from 1 species
UGGGGAAUAUUGGACAAUGGGCGAAAGCCUGAUCCAGCCAUGCCGCGUGUGUGAAGAAGGUCUUCGGAUUGUAAAGCACUUUAAGUUGGGAGGAAGGGCAGUAAGCGAAUACCUUGCUGUUUUGACGUUACCGACAGAAUAAGCACCGGCUAACUCUGUGCCAGCAGCCGCGGUAAUACAGAGGGUGCAAGCGUUAAUCGGAAUUACUGGGCGUAAAGCGCGCGUAGGUGGUUCGUUAAGUUGAAUGUGAAAGCCCCGGGCUCAACCUGGGAACUGCAUCCUAAACUGGCGAGCUAGAGUAGGGCAGAGGGUGGUGGAAUUUCCUGUGUAGCGGUGAAAUGCGUAGAUAUAGGAAGGAACACCAGUGGCGAAGGCGACCACCUGGGCUCAUACUGACACUGAGGUGCGAAAGCGUGGGGAGCAAACAGG